ensembl:lncRNA
UGGGGCGUAUGAAGCAAGGUGAUGGUAGCAGAGGGCUUCAGCAGUGAUCUCUGUGAGCAGAGCCCCACAGUGCGCCAUGUCAGAGCACAGCAGCUCCAGCUGCUCCAACAGGGCCCCACUGCUGCCAGAGAACAACUGCUGCACAGCUGGGAGAGAGGGGGGAGCAACGAGAGAGCAGCGGCCCUGAGAGCACCGGGCUCAGGGCAGGAGGUGGGCAGGAGGCACUCCAGCAGCUCCAUGCAGCCCAGGACAGGCCCACGGAGGAGCAGGCCGUCCCCUGCAGCCCAUGGGCACCAGGUCCGUGAUGGUAGUUGUUGCGCGAUCGCCUUGUCCUCAUCUCAACCCAUGAGAUUUUUUUGCAACAAAUUUUGUCCCUAUGCCCUUCUGAGGAGGAAGAGUGAGAGCAGCGUGGGAUGUUGAGCUGCCUACUGGUGUGAAACAACCACAGCCAUAAAGCUGUGCCCCCCGUAUGCAGCUGGUGUAUACAGAUGCGAGCAGAAGGGGAAAGAAGAAAAGAGUAGUUGUUUGUUCUCCUUCACAGCUGUGCAGAACAGAUUCUUCAGCACCUCCGAAGAGCCAGUCUUCAGGACACAGAGGCUGAAUCAUAUCCUGCACUUCCAACAACCGUUAUUAAUCACAAAAAUAUCUUCCCAAAGAAAUACUGCAAAAUCCUUCACUGAAAUCUCAUUGUUGGCUGUUGGUUUCUCCACUGGCAAAUACUCAGAUGAAGCACUGAGAAAUGAAAAGGAGGGAGUUCAUGCACCUGCCUCGUUCUAUAUCCAUCCAGCACGGCACUCUGUGCCUGCACUCAGAGCCAAAUCCACCCAUUG